AUCAUCCUCUCCUAUAGGUUCCAUCUUGUCUUCUCGUGUCCCGACCCCCCUCCCCAAUGCCCCCCCCAACCGUCUCUUCUCUAAAACUUUCAGCCACGCCUUCUUUUUCCAUUGUCCAAUCACAGUCUUCUAUUUCACCUGCACAGACAGCAAUCUACAACGAAUCAGCAGCGGUGCCUGGCGUUGCCUAGCAGAGACAGCCAGGCCUCGGCUGAGUUAUCUGAGUCUCCUCUCCCCAGGACUGUCCUUUAAAUCGUGAGUCUACUGUCUUUUGAAAUGGACCAUCAAUACAACUCAAGUAACCCUUCUAAUUAGUAGGAGCUCUGGCAAACGUCUCAGGCGUACAUCCCAUCUCACCCCAACUGUUUUCUGAACGCUAACCCAUGAAGAACUAAAGAGCUGAGGACAGAAAGGCAUGGGGCUCCCAGCGCUUAGGAAAUGGAGGCUUGAGGACCAGUUAAAGUUAAAGGCCAUUCUCUGCUACACGGUGACUUUAAGGUAAACGUGAUGCUUCCUGUUUGGCCUACUUCUCUGCAUACAACCCAACCAACAGCCUAGCACCGGUGCCUGGCAUUUCAGACUCUGUCCGACUGGCCAUGGGAAUGCACAUCUGUAAUUCUAGUCCUUGGAAAGAGAAGCAGAAGAAUCACUACAGGUAUAGCACAGCCGAGGGACACUACAUCUUUAAGUCACUUAACGAGCACAGGUGUGACAACUGCCAUCUUCUACAGAACUGAGAAAGCAAGGACACAGCAGCCACAGAAACCCUGCAAUCUCAGCCCUGGAGAUGGAAGCAAAGUGAACAUGUGAGGCCCGCCUGGGUGUAUCAUACCUCGUCCCGUAAACAAAAACCAAAGUUUGUACAGGGUUACUCUGAAUGCCUGCAGGCUGGCCCUAAGUGGCUCAGCAGUCAUGCUCCAUGGUAGAUCCAUCGGCUCCCAAUUGCUGGGUUACAGGUGGGCCGCCAUGACGUACAGCCUGCCCCUCCUCUUGAAUCUGCCAUGGAGGGGGCCGGGUCAGCCCAACCUGCUGCUGUCACCACGGUAGAUGUGGCCACGAAGAAAGAGCUGCUAAGGAAGCCUGAGCCCACUAGCUUGUCCCCCAGGAAACCCUUAUCCACCAGGGCACAGAAGGACAGACAAGAAGAGGUUAACACUUAGCUCCAUCUGCAGUCUCUUUUUUAAGAGGAGUAAGAGGGAUGCUAACCUUAAAGGCAAAGUGUUAGCAUAUCGGUAUCUCAUCAAUAAAAAUGGAAUCGGGCUGGAAGUAGCAGCUCAGGCUUUCCAUCCCAACACUUAAAAAGCUGAGGCAGGAGGAUUGCAAGUUUGAGGCCUAUACAAUGAGCUCAAGGCCAGCUUAAAGCUACAUCAAGAGAUAUUGGUUUAAAAGCUCGAAUCAAACAAGAAAGCGAUCUGCUUGUUGGGAUUUACAUUCACAUUAACACUGCUGGGCUACGGCAGAGCCUGCUGUACAUUAACACUGCUGGGCUACGGCAGAGCCUGCUGUACAUUAACACUGCUGGGCUACGGCAGAGCCUACUGUACAUUAACACUGCUGGGCUACGGCAGAGCCUACUGUACAUUAACACUGCUGGGCUACGGCAGAGCCUACUGUACAUUAACACUGCUGGGCUACGGCAGAGCCUACUGUACAUUAACACUGCUGGGCUACAGCAGAGCCUACUGUACAUUAACACUGCUGGGCUACGGCAGAGCCUACUGUACAUUAACACUGCUGGGCUACGGCAGAGCCUACUGUACAUUAACACUGCUGGGCUACGGCAGAGCCUACUGUACAUUAACACUGCUGGGCUACGGCAGAGCCUACUGUACAUUAACACUGCUGGGCUACGGCAGAGCCUACUGUACAUUAACACUGCUGGGCUACGGCAGAGCCUGCUGUACAUUAACACUGCUGGGCUACGGCAGAGCCUGCUGUACAUUAACACUGCUGGGCUACGGCAGAGCCUACUGUACAGGAGAAAUUCCUGUUGGUACUUUCUACCUGCUUUAGGUUGUAGCUUUCAAAUCUAGAAGUUUGAAAAUUACUUUGGCAGGCCUGAUGGUGGUUGGUGCUCUAAAUCCAGUCAGGAACAGUGAGACAGCACAGAAUAUGGAUGGGAGCUAACUAAACACUAGGCUCACAAGAGAUGAUCAGUGACCCAGGAAAAGUGAGUUCCGGAGAUCAAGGCUAGCAGGAAGGAAAGAUGGAGGGUCAGGGCACAGCCCCUGACACUACUGUCUACAAAAUCUCCAGACCCACUGUGACCCCAGAGAACUUCAAAAAACACCCACAGACCCACUUACUUAUAGCUUCGAAAGUAAACCUUCCCAUUCAGUGCCGUGAAGUGCAGAACAUACUCUAAUCCAGCCAGACGGACGUUUGACACUGUGGGGCCUCUGAAGAAAUCUGAAAGCACAUAUUCAGUUGUUAAAGAGAACAACAACAUUCAGCUACAGAAUGCCAUCUUUUCAACGUGUGUGUGUGUGUGUAUGUGUGUGUGUGUCUGUGUAUGUCUGUGUGUGUGUGUGUGUGAGAGAGAGAGAGAGAGAAAGAGAGAGAGAGAGAGAGAGGAAGAAGAGGAGGAAGAGGAAGAGAAGGAGGAGGAAGAGGAGGAGGAGGAGGGAUAGAGGAGGGAUGUGUGGGGACACAUACAAACACUCAUUGAGACCAGAGCCAUCUCCAGUGUCGUUCCUCAGGAGCUGGCUCCCUGGAAGAGCCCCAGAGAGAGCCAAUCUCCCACUCUGCAGCAGCCCUGGACUAUAACCGAGCUGAAGCACAUAACUAGCCCUUGAGCUAUUUCCCCAGCCAUACUUUAGUUUGCUUUAAGAGUGUAACAGGGGUUGGAGAGAUGGCUCAGUGGUUAAGAGCACUAACUGCUCUUCCAGAGGUCCUGAGUUCAAAUCCCAGGAACCACAUGGUGGCUUACAACCAUCUGUAAUGGGAUCAGAUGCCCUCUUCUGGUGAUCCAAUGCCCUCUUCUGGUGUGUCUGCGGGUAGCUAGAGUGUACUCAUAUAAAAAUAAAUAAAUCUUAAAAAAAAAAAAAAAAA